AGUGAACGCUGGCGGUAGGCCUAACACAUGCAAGUCGAACGGCAGCACAGGAGAGCUUGCUCUCUGGGUGGCGAGUGGCGGACGGGUGAGGAAUACAUCGGAAUCUACCUUUUCGUGGGGGAUAACGUAGGGAAACCUACGCUAAUACCGCAUACGACCUACGGGUGAAAGUGGGGGACCGCAAGGCCUCACGCGAUUAGAUGAGCCGAUGUCCGAUUAGCUAGUUGGCGGGGUAAUGGCCCACCAAGGCGACGAUCGGUAGCUGGUAUGAGAGGAUGAUCAGCCACACUGGAACUGAGACACGGUCCAGACUCCUACGGGAGGCAGCAGUGGGGAAUAUUGGACAAUGGGCGCAAGCCUGAUCCAGCCAUACCGCGUGGGUGAAGAAGGCCUUCGGGUUGUAAAGCCCUUUUGUUGGGAAAGAAAUCCUGUCGAUUAAUACUCGGUGGGGAUGACGGUACCCAAAGAAUAAGCACCGGCUAACUACGUGCCAGCCGCCGCAGUAACAC
rnacentral:rRNA from 1 species